rnacentral:tRNA from 1 species
GAUUCAUUGGCUAAGUGGCAGAGCGUUUGUCUUGCGAACAGAAGGACGUUGGUUCGGUUCCAGCAUAGGACA